UAAAUUGGUUGUGUUUUGCACUUUUCCCUUUUUUUUUCAUUUCGUUUUCCCCUUUUUGGGAAACUGUAUCAUGAAUCUAACUAGUGAACUCAAAAACUAAUAGAUUGAGAGUGGAUUUUUUUAAGCUUUCAGCUAAUUAUUUUGUGAGUGUGAAGAGAAAUUAGAUUAAAAUUUCAUGAAUUUUGCUUUAAAUUUAUUCUAUUGAGUCAUAAAUCAAUACUAGUAGUAGUAUUUUUCAUCCAACAAGAAAGUAACUCCAAUUCUUCAUUUCUGUCAUUGCUUCACUCAUUGUUUAGUACUGCCUCUCAUCUGUUCGACGAAAUGCUCGUGUAAAUGACUACACCUUGAAUACUGCAAUCAGAAAGGGAUUAUGCAGUGAGAAAAGGUUUCAACUUGCAAAGGAUUUAAGGGUCUGAUGAAUGUGCUUCCAUUUGUGUAAUGCUGGCCGUGUUGAUGAUGCAUUUUCUAUGCUGUGCACCAUGGAAGAAGAAGAAGAAGACACGGUUGCCGACUGUGUAACAUAUAAUGUCCUCAUUAAGGGAUUAUGCAAAGGUAAAAAAGUUCCAACUUGCAAAGAAGGGCAGACAGAGGAGGCUAAGAAUUUGUUCACAUCUAUGGUAAACAAUGGUUGUUUGUCUAAUGUUCUUGUUGGGGGUUUUCUCAAAAGGAACAAUAUAGAAACCAUUGUUAAGAAUGGAAGAGAAUUCACACACGAUGCCACCACUGUUUUGAUGAUGGGAGGUUUGAGGUACACUAGUUUCAGGAAAUUGGUUUUUGAUUUGAGGAAUUCAAGAUGAGAGUUUAUGCAAUAUCAUCUGCUUCUGGUGUUGAUGGUCUGGUUAGAUGAAUUAUGUCAUGCUUUUCUAGAAUUUUCGACAUAUUUCAAUAUAUUCUCGUUGCUUCGUUUUUGCAUGGUUGUCUUGGAAACAUGGGAAAUACAGAGAUCAGUUAUGUCAUGCUCUUUCUAUCUGGCUUAACAUCAGCGGAUGGGCUAUGCUCGCAUCCUUCGGUUUAUGGCUGCAGCAGGCCAGGUACAUGGUAAUAUGUUAACACAAGAACUUGUUUAUUUUGAUUUCCCAAACUUGCCAUGUAUGCAUAUCAUGCUUGAUCGCGCUUCACCAGCGUGUGUGUCUUGAACGAGCUGGGAACGACAGAUGCUAAGGCACCAAAUUUGGGAGAAAGCCAGCUUAAACUUGUGUUGUAGAGUCUGUAUCAUCAAAUUUAUGUUUCCAAGUAUAAUUAUGAUGGAUGGAAAUGUACCAAGGUCAACUGACCUAAGAAACAUUCACACGUGGACCCCUGCCCACCGGCUCGAGUCAAAGCAAGCCGGAGCCGAGGGUGGUACAAGGGGAGCAUAAAAAUUGAACAACGAGCAUUCUUCGCCUUAAACAAGAAGCAUUGAAGAAUAAGGGGUCUAUACUGUCGGACGUCCUCAAUCAUCGAAAUGAAGUUGAGCAUCGUGGAAUGCAUAUCCCCACAAUGCACUAUAAUUAUUGGCACCUCACGCCAAAUGCCUUUAAAACGAGCAUGUUGCUCCACACCAUUUCCAAUAUUGUCAAUAUAUAUAUUUUUCAUUCAUUAAUGUUUUAGCUAUUUUUUAAGUGUGUUAAAAAUAUAAAGUUUUUAGCU